rfam:Capsicum annuum cultivar Zunla-1 chromosome 1, whole genome shotgun sequence
UUAUGAAGGUGAGGGUAAUUUUUUAGCAUAGCCUUGAAUAUUUCCAAAGCUUAGUAAAUAUUCUCUCCUUCUUUCUGCCUGAAACUCAGAAUCUCACUUCUCAAAUG